UGAAGAGGUCUGCAACAGUCUCUUGAGCUUACUACUAAUUGCAUUUACUUUGGUCUUGAUCUUCAAAUCUCAAUUUACCCUUGUAACCCUUGAACAGUGUAUUCCUUCCCGUUUGUUUAUUGAUAUCCAAACGUCAUUUGAAGGAACACCAAAUAUUCACCAACUCAAAAGGCUUUUUCUGCUCUGAUAUCAUCUUCUCUUUCAUGUCCCCUUGCAUGGGUGCAAAAACAGAGCUCUAGAGCAAGAUCACUGAAGGAACUGGGUCCUAAGGAAAAACAAAGAGAUAGUCAAACUCCUCUGCUUUGGAAACAUCCUUUGGUACAGGAACUUGUGGUCCUAGAAACCACUUCACCUCCCAGGGCAGGAAACCUCUCUGCAGGCAUCUUAGAUUUCCAAUUGAAACAUGACAGAAUUUGGUGGAGUCGUUCCUGGUUUAGGCUGCUGGUGCUGGUGUCUUGCCCCAAGACAGGCCUGGCUCUGGACCUGACUGUUUAUGUCACUUGAAAAUUCCUUAAACUGCUUCCCUGCUAUCCCCAGUAAACAGUGGUCCCUGGGCAGAGCUCCUCAAGUAAGUAAGUAUUCCUGGGUUCUGUGUUUCCUCAACAAAAAACCUAUUAUUCUUUUUGAUGCAUUCCUCCUCACAUCAAAAGCACCAGAGUGAUGGCAGAAACCCUAUUGACUCAUCAGAUAAAGGAACAGUCCACAGUUUUGGUCAUGUAUUCUUUCAUUUGCUUUCUGAAUUUUUCUCUUCCUU
rnacentral:lncRNA from 1 species